UUGCGGUGUAGGAGUGAAAUCCGUUGAUAUCGCAAGGAACACCAAAGGCGAAGGCAUUGCGCUAGGCUACAGCUGACCCUGAGAGACGAAAGCGUGGGGAGCAAAACGGAUUAGAUACCCGUGUAGUCCACGCCGUAAACGAUGGAUACUAGAUGUCCGGGGAUUCGACCCCCUGGGUGUCACAGCUAACGCGUUAAGUAUCCCGCCUGGGAAGUACGGCCGCAAGGCUAAAACUCAAAGGAAUAGACGGGGAUCCGCACAAGCGGUGGAGCGUCUGGUUUAAUUUGACAGUAAGCAAUGAACCUCACCAAGGUUUGACAUCCUACGACAACCCUGGAAACAGGGCUUUCUUCGGACGUAGUGACAGGUGCUGCAUGGUCGUCGUCAGUUCGUGCCGUGAGGUGUUCCGUUAAGUCGGGAAACGAACGAAACCCUCGUUGUAUGUUAUAAUUUUCAUACGAGACUGCCCGGGUCAACCGGGAGGAAGGCGAGGAUGACGUCAGAUCAGCAUGGCCCUUAUGCCUUGGGCGACACAGGCGCUACAAUGGCUGGUACAAAGGGUUGCUAAGCCGCGAGGUGGAGCUAAUCCCAUAAAACCAGUCUCAGUUCGAAUUGAAGGCUGCAAUUCGCCUUCAUGAAGUUGGAAUCGCUAGUAAUCGUGGAUCAGCCAUACCACGGUGAAUAUGUUCCCGGAUCUUGUACUCACCGCCCGUCACACCAAGAGAGUUGGUAGCUCCUGAAGCGUCGCAUCAAAGCGGCACCACGGAGA
rnacentral:rRNA from 1 species